GACAUAGGGGGCAAACGUUAUCCGGAAUUAUUGGGCGUAAAGGGUGCGUAGGUGGUUCAAUAAGUUACUGGUGGCAAAUCGGGGCCCAACCCCGUGGAAGUCGGUAAUACUAUUAAACUAGAGGAUCGGAGAGGUUAACGGAAUUCUAUGUGUAGCGGUAAAAUGCUCAAAUAUAUAGAGGAACACCAAACGGCGAAGGCAGUUAACUAUUCGGUGCCUGACGUUGAGGCACGAAAGCGUGGGGAGCAAGACGG
rnacentral:rRNA from 1 species